rnacentral:rRNA from 1 species
AUGACGUUGCCAAAGCUUGCUACCAGCGAUGUUGGCUACAGCUUCUACCUCAAGUCACUGCCCGGUACUCUUGACUACUCUCAGUUCAACAUCAUACUGUUUUGCGCAUCAAUUAUUGGAACUAUUAGUGGCUUCCUUUGGCUAGUCCACCCAGACCUGUGUAUUGCGAAGCAUUACAAACUGUCUCCGAGGGCUGGAGACUUUCAUGUGGUGCGCUCCAAAAAUCGCACAGAUAUUGGCCACGCUGGAGGGUCACCAUAG